rnacentral:rRNA from 1 species
UGGGGAAUAUUGCACAAUGGGCGCAAGCCUGAUGCAGCCAUGCCGCGUGUGCGAAGAAGGCCUUCGGGUUGUAAAGCACUUUCAGCGAGGAGGAAGGUGGUGAGCUUAAUACGCUCAUCAAUUGACGUUACUCGCAGAAGAAGCACCGGCUAACUCCGUGCCAGCAGCCGCGGUAAUACGGAGGGUGCAAGCGUUAAUCGGAAUUACUGGGCGUAAAGCGCACGCAGGCGGUUUGUUAAGUCAGAUGUGAAAUCCCCGGGCUCAACCUGGGAACUGCAUUUGAAACUGGCAAGCUAGAGUCUCGUAGAGGGGGGUAGAAUUCCAGGUGUAGCGGUGAAAUGCGUAGAGAUCUGGAGGAAUACCGGUGGCGAAGGCGGCCCCCUGGACGAAGACUGACGCUCAGGUGCGAAAGCGUGGGGCAGCAAACAGGAUUAGAUACCCUGGUAGUCCACGCUGUAAACGAUGUCGAUUUUGGAGGUUGUGCCCUUGAGGCGUGGCUUCCGGAGCUAACGCGUUAAAUCGACCGCCUGGGGAGUACGGCCGCAAGGUUAAAACUCAAAUGAAUUGACGGGGUCU